GAAGGGGCUGAACACGCAGUGCACCGGGGAAAUCCACACCAAUCACAACGCACUCCAGAGUCACCGUAAGUCCGCAACAGGAGGGCAGUGCAUGUGAAAUCCACUGGGGAGGGGUUUAGCAGAACUACAGAGCAAAGCAGCGUCUGCAGGAGGAGGUCUUCCCUGAGGAAAAUCUGAAAUACACAGUGUCAGUAAAUACCAGCCCCCUGGAAAGUUCCAGCUUCCCUGAAACUUAACCUCCUCACAGGAGAAAGGUAGACCAGAGUGCCUGAUUCUGAAACCUGUUAGGAGUGUGACCAGCACAUUCUCCUGCCUGAGUAACAGACCUGAAGGCUGGCUUGAGUGUCUGGUGCCCUGGGCCUGGGCCAACAUUUCUGGACACCUGUGUUUAGGUCUUUAGUUUUGCUGAAAGCCAUGUAGACAACGUGACUUUAUCUAUCUGCAAGGUCGCUGUGAGAGAGCUCCCUGGGAAGGCUCCUACCGCCCUCCCUGCGGUGGGUGUGGCCUCACGUGUCUGACGUAACCCUGUGACCAGCAGGCAGCCAAUGGGCUUCGACACAGUUUUAACGUGAGUAGACUCAGCUCUGAGGUGUGAUUGCAAAGUAUGGUGAAUCCUUAAAUGUUUAAAACUAUAUUACAGUACAGGACACAUUGCCUUUAGUCAGCCUCAAACUCCGCCCCCUUACUUCCAACACCCUUAUCCCGUCAUCCUUGCCACUGUCUGAAGCAGUUCUGGAAGUGCUCUUUCGUGUCUCAGCACCCUGGGUCAGUUAAAAACGUUUACCUUUUAUGCUCCCUUUGGCUUUUGGGGGAAGCCAGAAGUCACAGGGUUCCAGAUCCAGUGACUGAGGUGCAUCAGGACACAGCACCAUGUUCUCACAAGCUGGCCCUUCUGUUGGACGGCACUUGCUAGCAGCACUCGCUGUAUCUUUUAUUUUACCCAAAAAAGACAAUCCUGAAAGACCAAUCUGGAACUGUUUGAGAAAGCUGCAAGAAUGCCUAGAUACAGGUUAGUACCAUCGAUGGACUACAAAGACCCAAGGAAAAGAGGUUCUUGGCACUGGAAUUCACACCCAGAGCUACAUGGUGCAGAAUGGACACUUGAUUCAGUGCCUGGAUGGCACGUUAGGAUCUGGAGGGUGCCAGGGGCUCAGCACCAGAGACACAAACCCUCAGACUCUACUACCAAGCAUGCCUGGUUGUUUCUUCUACAAAUGGGCAAGUCCCAUCUGUCCCGUGCACCAUGCUUCCUAUCCUCUUUUGAUGUGAGGAUCAAAGAAGACAACAGAUGUGAAAACACAUUAAAAGAUACAAACCAGCAUACAAAUACCACGCAGUGUUACUUUGCUCUGUUAAAGAAAUGGGAUGAUCCGUUAAUUGAAAAGGGAUUCAGCAUGCCAGCUCUGAAAGGGGCUGGAGUGUCAGAAUUUUUCAUCCAGGUGUCUGAUGGCCUGCUGACGCAGCCUACGUCGGUUUGAUGACAUCGCGUAUGUAGCAUAGGUUCUCCGCAUCAUUUAGAUUCCUAGGUUUUAAUUACACACCAAAUCUUGACCCACCGCAAGCAAAACCUAGGGAGGGUAGGAAAGAGAUCCUUCUUGCAAGCCUAGAAGCUUGCCUUUCAAAAGAAAUGGGAAGAUAGCUAAGGUUUCC
ensembl:lincRNA